AAACUUUCAACAACGGAUCUCUUGGGUCUCGCAUCGAUGAAGAACGCAGCGAAAUGCGAUAGGUAAUGUGAAUUGCAGAAUUCAGUGAAUCAUCGAAUCUUUGAACGCACAUUGCGCCCUCUGGCAUUCCUCAGGGCAUGCCUGUUCGAGCGUCAAUAGAUACCCUCCCAGUCACCCUCCCGGUGGUGCUGGGGGAGGUGGGGUCGCCCUCCUGGCAACAAGGCCUCACCCCUCCCGAAAAUCAUGGGCCCGUCA
rnacentral:rRNA from 1 species